GCCUAGUUAGCUCAGUUGGUAGUGCGUCUGCCUUGUAAGCGCUAGGCCGCGGGUUCGAUUCCCGCCCGGGG
rfam:Asian citrus Psyllid, Diaphorina citri - Florida Strain, whole genome shotgun sequence.